GUUCCAGUAGCACAACGGAUAGUGCGCUGAACUUCUAAUCCGAAGGUCGUGGGUUCGAAUUCCAACUGGAAUG